UUGGUGGCGAUAGCGAAGAGGUCACACCCGUUCCCAUGCCGAACACGGAAGUUAAGCUCUUCAGCGCCGAUGGUAGUUGGGGGCUUCCCCCUGUGAGAGUAGGACGCCGCCAAGCG
rnacentral:rRNA from 2 species